GUCUAUGAAAUUAUAGAGAUAGACCUUUAAAACCUCUUUGAGACCUUUCUGUUUACCCAGAAACUGCUCUGAGGUCUCUAGCAUUAAACCCACCAGACUCCAUUUAAAAAAGGAAGACUUUUAGAGUUUA